GGAAUAAAAGACGGGGUCAGACUUUUGCGAAUCAACAACUCACCCUGAAGUUCUUCAACUUAACGCUGCAAAUGACUCCAGAAUCUACGCAGAACAGUCAGUGGUAUAUUAAUGUGAAACUGAGCGAGCAAACUGCUUCAUCAAUGGCAUUUUCUGGCCUUCACUAUUUCUUUCACCACGGAAAGUAUCCAGUUCUCUUCGCUGACAGGAAAUGCCUAAUCAUUGGAUAUUACGGUUCAUUCGGCCAAUCCUUCUGCAUGAUGUGGGUGAUUGAAGAAGCUCUUGGGAACCCUCGACGUUAUUGCAACUUUAUCCUUCUGUCAAUGUGCGGAACUCCAGCCUAUAAUGCUUAUGCUUAUGAGCACAGCGAAAGUGUAAUGUGUAAUAUUAUGGAGAAGGCGCACAACUCAAGCAGAUGAAUCAUACCAAAAGUGGCACCAUCAUAAUGAGAUACCUCAUCCAUACCACACUGUCUACAGAAAGGCAUGUGUGCGCUGUUGUACUGAGGCAAGCUGCCUUAACGUUUCACAAGAAACACGUAGUUUUACCUACCUUCUUCUUGAACAUGUCUCUGCCUGUUAUAGCAGUUCGGCUUUGGAGUUAAUCGGAUAAAUUUGGC